GACAUCCAGGCCUGGGAUUGUCCCAGGAAGCAGAAACAGUGCCUGAAGGAAGGGCCCCAGGUCAGGCCGAGUCAACCACACCACCGCAAAUCUCCAGGAUUGCAACAUGAGCCUGGAGCCCUUCUCCACCCACUCGCCUGGGCCCACCACUUCCUGCUGCUGUGAGCUAACGACUGCACCAGGCAGCCAGUGUGGCCAGGGCCAGAGGCAGCUGGGUUGCGGCAGCCCUCUGGCAGGAAGGAGAAGAGAAAGGAUGCUCUGAGCUCCCAAGUGGAGGUGCCGGGACCAGAGUUCGAGGCAUGGAGAAGCCUGGAACCGAGGCUGGGCGGCAGUGGUGCCCACGGGGUGCCCUCUGGGCAUCUGCCAUUCAUGGAGCAGAGAACUCCAGGACCCUGCUCUGAGUCCACUGAGCAGGAGCAGGUUGGGCAAGUGAACCUGGGAAGACCGAGUUCCCACACCCCAGAGUCCCAGGGAGGCCCAGACCUGUGCCUCCCACUCCAGGAGCUGGGUCUGACUUAUCUUCCCAGCGAGCCUGCAGAGGCCCAGGAGCAAACACUGGAACCCAUGUUAUGCCCUCCAGCAUGACCUUGAGCACAGUCCACAUCCCUUCCCGGUUUCUUUACCAAGCCGCCUCCCCUGCCGGCACCCUAAAGGAAAGAAGGACGAGGGCCGUGUGUACUCACCGUGCGCCAACACUGAUGGAGGGCCGAGUGAAGAGGUCUCAGAGCCCUGCUUCUCGCCACCCUCACCACUCAGCUCCGGCCGUGAGCUUUGGGGGAAAGAGGGGCCAUGCACCGCAGCCAGAUCGGACUCUCCUUCCCCAAGUGGUGGGGAAAGGGCUCGUGGGAGCAGAGCCGAGCCACUGAGAAAAAUGGAACCCUGUGCCACCAGGCGCUGUCUUCCUUGGUAUGGAAGAAGACUUCACUCAUUUUCUGGACUCUCCAAGCCUCCUGUCACCACUCCCUCCUGCCCUCAGCUAAAGCCUUCGCCUUAAACGUCACUGAAACACAAGAAGCAAAUGAAAGGGCGCUCCUUCAUCUUCUCGCCCCCACAUCCACUGCCUGCCUUGCGUCACACUGCCUUCCCUCCAGUGAGACAGAAGCGCCUCUUCUCGUGGCCACGGCCAGCCUUUCCAUUUGUCCUCUGUGACUCACCCUCUCCGGCACAUUCCUUCCUCUCAUCCUGCUGGAUCCUGCUGUUGAGCAAGCAGGCCUCAGAGAUGCCCUUUAAAACAACCAGAAACCGGGUCCCUUGGUCCCUUUUGAUGCUCCCCGUUUAAAACAGCACCUUUACAUCAGUUGCUGACUUCCCGCCUCCACCUUCCCUUCCCAGUGGCUGCCCAGCCCGCUCCACUCUGACCCAUUUCCCAGGUACAGAAAGAGCUCAGGCCACCACAGAACGGCCGCUGCUCCAGCUGGCCUGGUCUUACCCACCAGCGUUGGGCAGCUGAGCCUCCCUUCCUGGUGACACAUGUCCUUCACUUGGCGUCUGUGACACUGCUCUCCCAGCCACGGACCUGUCACUUGCUCCCUCUAUCUGUCUUCUUUGUCAGCUCCUUCUUCUCUACUGGGUUUCUAAUGAUUGGGAUCUACUUUUUUCCAUUUACAUAUUCUCCCUGGGAAUCUCAUAGUUUGAAUACACCCAUAACAAAAUAGGUCCCAAGUUUCUUUGCAGGUAUGAUCUGUCCCUAAAAUCCCACAAUCAUAUAUUCAAGAGUCUGUGAUAUUUCUACUUGGAUGUCUAGCGAUCAACUUUCCCAGGCUCCACAGAAACCUUGAUUAACUGUCCUACUUCUUACCCAGCCACUAACUACCUAUUACAUCGUUUCAUUUUUGGAGUCACACUUCACUUUGGAGUAACACCUCUUUGUUCUCCCUCAGACUAGAAAGAAAACUCCAUUAUCUGUUUUUCCUGUUCCAUAUUGUACAACAGUGCCUGACACACAGCGAGCCUUAGUGUUUGUUGACUGACUGAUGAAUGAGUCUUUGGCACAUGUAAUAUGCCAGAGUUGCUAACCCCGGAGUAAAAAGAAGCUUCAUUUACCUACUGAGAUCAACAUUUAAAGUGGAUUAUCAUUAAGGCCAUUUCCUAAAUUCAUACUCA